AACUUUGUCAGCAAUAUCGGUUUCUGAAGUAGCUUCAAUGCGAACCGGAAUUAAAAGGGAAUCCUGUGAAAAUCAGGGACUAUCCCCGUAGCUGUAAGUUUUAUCUCUUGCAUUUGAAAGAGAAAUGUUACAACAAUCUUUGCCACUGGUUAUUUUUAUAGAAUCGGGAAGGCGUUGUAAUAAAAACAAGUCAGAAGACCUGCCGGUUUCAUUACCUCAUU
rnacentral:ncRNA from 2 species